CAGAUUCAACCCAUCCUAACCCUAAGGGCCAGGAGCAACUUUUAUCUAUCAAACAUGACCUUGCGGUAUUCUACGGGUAAUUUUGAAAGUCAGGUAGGGAUUUGGCAUUUUGUUAUCUGGGUUAUUUGGUAAUACAACUACAAGACGAGCACAGUAAGGAGAGUAUAACUUAUCAUCAACAAGUGGA